UACGUAGGGGGCAAGCGUUGUCCGGAUUUAUUGGGCGUAAAGAGCUCGUAGGCGGCUUGUCGCGUCGUCCGUGAAAACUUGGGGCUCAACCCCAAGCUUGCGGUCGAUACGGGCAGGCUAGAGUUCGGUAGGGGAGACUGGAAUUCCUGGUGUAGCGGUGAAAUGCGCAGAUAUCAGGAGGAACACCGGUGGCGAAGGCGGGUCUCUGGGCCGAUACUGACGCUGAGGAGCGAAAGCGUGGGGAGCGAACAGG
rnacentral:rRNA from 1 species